AUUGAACGCUGGCGGCAGGCCUAACACAUGCAAGUCGAACGAGUGGCGGACGGGUGAGUAAUGUCUGGGAAACUGCCUGAUGGAGGGGGAUAACUAAUGGAAACAGUAGCUACUACCGCAUACCAUCGAAUGUGCCCAGAGGGGAUUAGCUAGUAGGUGGGGUAAAGGCUCACCUAGGCGACGAUCCCUAGCUGGUCUGCGAGGAUGACCAGCCACACUGGAACGUAGACACGGUCCAGACUCAGAGGCGAGGCAGCAGUGGGGAAGAUUGCACAAUGGGCGCAAGGCGGAUGCAUCAAUGCCGCGUGUAUGAAGAAGGCUCUCGGGUUGUAAAGUACUUUCAGCGGGGAGGCGUUACCCGCAGAAGAAGAACCUGCUAACUCCGGGCCAGCAGCGGAGGUAAUAC
rnacentral:rRNA from 1 species